rnacentral:rRNA from 1 species
GACGAACGCUGGCGGCGUGCCUAAUACAUGCAAGUCGAGCGCAGGAAACUGACGGAACUCUUCGGAGGGAAGGCAGUGGAAUGAGCGGCGGACGGGUGAGUAACACGUAAGGAACCUGCCUCAAGGAUUGGGAUAACUCCGAGAAAUCGGAGCUAAUACCGGAUAGUUCAACGGACCGCAUGGUCCGCUGAUGAAAGGCGCUCCGGCGUCACCUUGAGAUGGCCUUGCGGUGCAUUAGCUAGUUGGUGGGGUAACGGCCCACCAAGGCGGCGGUGCAUAGCCGACCUGAGAGGGUGAUCGGCCACACUGGGACUGAGACACGGCCCAGACUCCUACGGGAGGCAGCAGUAGGGAAUCUUCCACAAUGGACGAAAGUCUGAUGGAGCAACGCCGCGUGAGUGAUGAAGGUUUUCGGAUCGUAAAACUCUGUUGUAAGGGAAGAACACGUACGAGAGGGAAUGCUCGUACCUUGACGGUACCUUACGAGAAAGCCACGGCUAACUACGUGCCAGCCGCCGCCGUAAAAC